AGCAGCAGCCCGAGCCGGACUCACUGACACGCCACAGAGAGAGACACUCUGAGAGGGAGAUGAUUAUUAGUUGCGUUGAGUCAUCAGGCAAACAGAGGCCGCCUCCUCAGGAUUGCGGGAGGUAGAGAAGGCGACAGCAGCUACAGAAGGAGCAGCGCCGGCGCCGAGCCCCGCACCUCCGCGUGCAGAGAAGACUCAGACCAGCCCGCUUCUUACUCGCCGCUUCCUUUUCUGUCAACUGCGCUUAGUACUUUCGACUUUGGAGAUAGGAGGGCGAUCACCUCCUCCCCCAUCUUACCCUCCCCCUCCCCUCACUCUCCUCCAACUCCCACCUACUCAGUCCGCCCGCCCGCCAGCCUGCCACCCCUUUCUUCCGCCCCUGCGAGUAACUUUUCCCAGUGUGUUUGGGGCUCUUCCCUCAGCCCGGAGCAUGCCGUCCAGGGGCCAACUGAGGAUCCAGUCCCCGAGACAGACACGUAUGAACGUUCACGCUUUAUACGGGAAAUAGCAAAUUGUCCAAGAACAAUAGCGGGUGACAAGGCGGCGAGGUAUUCUCGUUAAGCGCCGGGAAGUGCUCCGGAGGCUCGCUCGGUUCCCGGGCCGGGCCGCGGCUAGGGGCGGCCGGAAAGGAAAGCAUCACUAGUGGCGAUGGAACAGGUCUGGGGGAGGCUAUAUGGCGUGUGUAGCGGAGACGCUAAGGGAGAAUGACGGGAGACACUGGCUAAGCCAGUGUAGGAUUACAGAAGGAAGCGGCGGGUCUGUUUCUCUCUUUCUUUCUCCACCCUGCUGUUCCCCGUAGUCACAACUAGCAUCUCGAAUGCCCGGGCUUCUUUAGGGAGGAUCGGGCCCGGGGUCUAGAAGGGUUCGGGGGAAGCGAGUGCAGACUGCGCGGGGUUCUUGCCGCCUCUCUGGCUGAAGAAGCGCCCCCGGAACAGGCAGGGAAGUGCCUAGGCGGAGAAGGAACAAGGGGACGGAAGCAGCCUGGGUCGGUCCCCGAAAAUACCCAACUGCCCCCCAAACUUUUUCUUGCUAGCUCCCUUUCCCGGGAGAGGUCCGGGUCCCAGCGGUAGCUGCCACCGAGCUGCUUCAGCUGCAGCUCUGAUUUAAGGUGGAGCGAGCCCCAAUACGGGCAGGCGUUCCUGGCCCGUGCUAUUGUCUCCGCGGGCCUGGUUCUCAGGCCCGGGCUUCCUUAAAGAGUGGGCACGUGGGCGAAGGGGUCCUGGCCCUAGAUAGAAGCCGGCCGGGCACACGCGCCACUCCGAGGGGGAGAGAAGGAGGGGGAUUGGGGAGGAAAAGGGGAGAACAGGGAGAUGUGCCGGGGGUGGGGUUCUCCCUCCCUCCAGAGAAACUGGCUGAGAGAGCCUUCGCAUCCUUCAUAGUUUUCUCUUUACCCCUCCUUUUCCAGCCUGACUUCCUCCCACUCUCUUUCUCUUUCUCCCCCACGCGUCCACCUCUCCCCCAGGGAUUCCUGCAGCCUGUGGCUCCCAAAGCAGACGGUCCCCCUUAAGAAGCAUUGCCUGUAUGGCGGCGCCAGAGGGCCAAACCAAGUUUUGUUUAGGGAAACGCUCUCGAGCCGACACCUCUGGAAAGCCGGAAUAAGAUAGGGGAUCGGUGGUAAACUCAGAAUUUAGAAAGAGGGACUACGUUUCCACCUGGUGUGCCCACCACGGCAUCUGAGCGUGCUCUGUCUGGUUUCUUCCAAACCGCGAAACAGAGCGAGGGGUGAAGCUUUUUUGAAGAAAGGUCUCCGUGCUGCUCCAACACCGUAACCUUGGUCCCGACCACAUCUGGCUGGUGCUUCGAAGGAGAUAGGCUCCAGCAAGCCAGAGAAAGAGUUACGGUUUAGGGUUGUUAAGAAAGAAAUGAGCUGAAGUAGUUUUGCUUUGUUUUUUAAAGCCAUGCCACUUUCUUGCUCCUUACCCCUAACACCUUAGUCUCCUAUAUAGUAGAGUCAAUUGGUAAAGGGCUUGCAGAAUUUGGAGUCGGGGAAGGCAAAUUGGCUAAAUUAAAUCAUCUCGAAUUAGUAAUUUAAAAGUUUAACUUUACUGGUUGCAAGGAAACCAAGUUGAGUGACCAACUUAGGUUCCUUCUGUAAUAUCACGUCGCAAAUUGAGUCAAAGAAAUUGAACAAAAACGUAAAACUUUGUACCUUUCAAAUUGGAAAACAUUUCUAGUUAAUGCCUUAAUAAUGAAUAAUAAUAAUAAUAUAUGGUUUCUUUUCAUACCUUGCUGAUGAUCUACGAAAUCCUCCUCCAGAUCAAUGUCCAGAAACUUAGAAGAAUUGGUGAUAUUAGGACUUCAGUACUUCUGGAAAAAAAAAUGCAAAUGAUUUAGCCAGAAUCUUUCCUGUCUGAUUCGUCACUAUUAUUAUAACUGAUGAUGCGGAUGGUUGGAACGAUUCAAUCCAAAACCAUUAAUGAGCUAUUUUAUAAACACCACUGUCGGAAGAUCUUCAUUUACAUUUCGAGAAUGAGAUCCCUUUGCUAGCCUAACAGAGUUAAGUCGAUAUCACGAUUACAUUGGUUAAACCUCUAUAAACACAACCAUAUUGUUAAUCGAUUAAUAUUUUAUAAAGUGUAAAUAUUUUAUAAAGUUUUCCUGGAAACUAAUGAUUCUAAAUGAUUAAGUUUAGGAGAAAGGUGAUUUAAAUAAAGUAUACAAUUAAGUGUAGAUUACCAUUUUUUACAUUUUAAUCUUACCUUUCUUAUUAUCAAGAUCUUUUUUUUUUAAGUUAUUUGUUCAAUUUAGCUCUUUGGGGAAAAUCACAAAAUAUUUUAAACUUUCAAUUUGCACAGGGCAAUUAAUCAAUAGGUAACAAAAACUCGGAAGAGGGAUUAUUCAUAAUGAGGGAGGUUGCAAUGAAUGUGUAUUAUAUAUACAUACAUAUAUGUAUAUGUAUAUAGAAUUGCUUGAUAUUAUUUACACUUUCGGUUUAAAAUAAGAUUUCUAGUAAGUUUUGUGUUUUUAUAGUUUCUGUUUUCUUGCUUUUCCUAAUAAAGGCCAUUUCUGUUUCAAAUUA